rnacentral:rRNA from 1 species
CCUACGGGAGGCAGCAGUGGGGAAUAUUGCACAAUGGGCGAAAGCCUGAUGCAGCAACGCCGCGUGAGCGAUGAAGGCCUUCGGGUCGUAAAGCUCUGUCCUCAAGGAAGAUAAUUACGGUACUUGAGGAGGAAUCCCCGGCUAACUACGUCCCAGCAGCCGAGGUAAUACGUAGGGGGCUAGCGUUAUCCGGAAUUACUGAGCGUAAAGUGUGCUUAGUUGGUUUCGUAAGUCAGAGGUGAAAGGCUACGGAUCAACCGUAGUAAGCAUUUGAAACUGGGGAACGUGAGUGCAGGAGAGGAGAGUGGAAUUACUAGUGUAGCGGUGAAAUGCGUAGAUAUUUGGAGGAACACCAGUUGCGAAGGCGGCUCUCUGGACUGUAACUGACACUGAGGCACGAAAGCGUGGGGAGCAAACAGGAUUAGAUACCCGAGUAGUC